UACAGAGGUCUCAAGCGUUGUUCGGAAUUACUGGGCGUAAAGGGUGCGCAGGCCGCGCGGGCAGUCAAAUGUGUAAUUCAGAGGCUCAACCUCUGGACUGCGCUUGAUACUUCCGUGCUAGAACCUUGGAGAGGGAUCUGGAAUUCUCGGUGUAGCAGUGAAACGCGUGGAUAUCGAGAAGAACACUCAGGGCGUAAGCAAGAUCCUGGACAAGUGUUGACGCUCAUGCACGAAGGCUAGGGGAGCGAACGGG
rnacentral:rRNA from 1 species